rnacentral:rRNA from 1 species
CAGCAGUGAGGAAUAUUGGUCAAUGGACGCAAGUCUGAACCAGCCAAGUAGCGUGCAGGAUGACGGCCCUCCGGGUUGUAAACUGCUUUUAGUUGGGAAUAAAAGGGGGCUCGUGAGCCCCGUAUUGUAUGUACCAUCAGAAAAAGGACCGGCUAAUUCCGUGCCAGCAGCCGCGGUAAUACGGAAGGUCCGGGCGUUAUCCGGAUUUAUUGGGUUUAAAGGGAGCGUAGGCCGGCUUUUAAGUCAGCUGUGAAAGUCCGCGGCUCAACCGUGGAAUUGCAGUUGAAACUGGAGGCCUUGAGUGCACACAGGGAUGCCGGAAUUCAUGGUGUAGCGGUGAAAUGCUUAGAUAUCAUGAAGAACUCCGAUCGCGAAGGCAAGUGUCCGGGGUGCAACUGACGCUGAGGCUCGAAAGUGCGGGUAUCAAACAGGAUUAGA